rnacentral:lncRNA from 1 species
GACCUUAGAUUGCUUGUGCUCUUUCAGACAUUUUUUUUUUUUUAGACAGAGUCUGGCUCUGUCGCCCAGGCUGGAGUGCAGUGGCGCGAUCUCAGCUCACUGCAAGCUCCGCCUCCCGGGUUCACGCCAUUCUCCUGCCUCAGCCUCCCGAGUAGCUGGGACUACAGAUGCCCGCCACCGCGCCUGGCUAAUUUUUUGUAUUUUUAGUAGAGAUGGGGUUUCACCGUGUUAGCCGGGAUGGUCUCGAUCUCCUGACCUCGUGAUCCGCCCGCCUCAGCCUCACAAAGUGCUGGGAUUACAGGCGUGAGCCACCGCACCUGGCCCACAUUGCAGUUUUGCAAGAGCGAGACUUCUGGAGAUGGAUGGGGUGAUGGUUACACAACAAUGUGAAUGAG